ensembl:lncRNA
CUUUAGAGUCAAUGUCGAGUAACCAAUAUGACAACAUUUUCACGUCCUGUUUCUCCAUACUUUUUUUUUUUACUUCCAGCGAAACUGUAAUGCUGGCCAAUCAUUUCUUAGGGAAAAUGUGACUGUUAGGAAUUCCCCACGCAUCGGCUUUCAGUAAGCAAAAAAGUGGGUAAGAAACAGUGUAACCUUAUGUCCGGCACGCGAAAGUAGUGAAACUAGAGUUGGUUUAAGACGCUGUGACAAUGAUGUCGAGAUAGCUCACAUUUGAAGAAAGAAUACUUUUUUUGGGAUAAUACACCAAGAUGCUGAUAAGUGGCUACUGAAGACAUUAGGCAACUGGCCGAUCCCUAUUAAGCCGUCAUUGAUGAGGCAUAAUACAUUUGACUUUUGUCUGUAACAACAUAUUAGGAUUUACGAAACUUGCUCCUGUGGCAGACUACUCACGAACAUCAGAAAAUGGCCUGAACAACAUGCUUUGUAUAUGCCACUGAGAAAACAUGGGUUAGAGUGGCAUUCAUACAUACAGAGCUUUUUUGAAAUUGGCAGUGGAAAGGCUGUCCACGCCACAUUGAAAAAUGAACCCCAAUGCUUCUGUGAACAUCCCCUGAAACAUAGCCGGUAAGACCCCAGAUGAUUCACAAAAGGUUAUCACUCUGAGCUGACUGGUUUAAUCUAGGUCAGUUGGCCUACAUCAGAAGAAACGUUGCAUGGAACUAAUGUGUUACACACCUUUAUAACCCAAUGAGUCAUUACCUUGUUUGGUAAAUAUCUCAGUUUUGCCCCUAAGCUAUUCAGACUUUGCAUUGAACCACGCUUACUAAUCAUGUCUCGUCCACCCGAGCCACUAGAUUUGUCUUGUAAAUCAGUCACGGUGCCUGACGACUUGGUCACGUCGAGAGACAAAGAAACAACACGAGAGCGGCCAGCCAGAUGGAGGCACGACCGAGAAGCUGUUGUAGCAGGGCCCGGUUUCUGUCAUAAGACAGGGAGUGUCAGGGAGGAAAGGAGGGAGUGCAGCCGUGUCAGGUUGGCUCCCACAGAAUAGAGUCAACAAGUCUUAGCCUGUAAUUAGAUCAUUAGGUCUAGAGGAGGAGAAGGAGGCGUGGACUUCAUCGGCCCACGCUUGCUGGGCCUGCACACGG